rnacentral:rRNA from 1 species
GACGAACGCUGGCGGCGUGCUUAACACAUGCAAGUCGAACGGAAAGGCCCUGCUUUUGUGGGGUGCUCGAGUGGCGAACGGGUGAGUAACACGUGAGUAACCUGCCCUGGACGUUGGGAUAACUUCAGGAAACUGGGGCUAAUACCGGCUAGGAGCUCCUGCUGCAUGGUGGGGGUUGGAAAGUUUCGGCGGGUGGGGAUGGACGCGGGGCUUAUCAGCUUGUUGGUUGGGUAGUGGCUUACCAAGGCUUUGGCGGGUGGCCGGCCUGGGAGGGUGAACAGCCACCUGGGGACUGAGAUACGGACCAGAGUCCUACGGGAGGCAGCAGUGGGGAAUAUUGCACAAUGGGGGGAAGCCUGAUGAAGAAACGCUGCGUGUGGGAUGACGGCCUUCGGGUUGUAAACCGCUUUAGCCUGUGACGAAGCGUGAGUGACGGUAAUGGGUAAAGAAGCACCGGCUAACUACGUG